AAAAAUGAAUCAGAAGGGAAUUUGAUAAAUGGUAUAGGUUAAUAGUAGACUAAGUCUUUAUGGUAAGGGUGUGAUUAAUUCUUAGUAUGUGUUCGAAGUAAUGAGCCUUACAGGUAUUUUGUAGCAAUGUUCUUGAGUUUUGGCAGCUUUAUUAACUUGGUUUAGGUGGAAGGAUUCGGUGCUUGAAGUUUAGCUUGUGCACAUGGAAUUGGGGAAGAAAGUCCUUAUUGGUUUCUACCGUGGUUGAGAGAUGGAUAUAUUUCCUAUGGGUAUGCGACGCAUGGG
rnacentral:lncRNA from 1 species